rnacentral:rRNA from 1 species
GACGAACGCUGGCGGCGUGCUUAACACAUGCAAGUCGAACGGAAAGGCCCUGCUUUUGUGGGGUGCUCGAGUGGCGAACGGGUGAGUAACACGUGAGUAACCUGCCCCUGACUUUGGGAUAACUUCAGGAAACUGGGGCUAAUACCGGAUAGGAGCUCUUGCUGCAUGGUGGGGGUUGGAGAGUGUCGGCGGUUGGGGCUGGACUCGCGGCUUAUGCGCUUGAUGGGCGGGUAGGGGAUGACGAAGGGUUUGAGAGGUAGCCGGCCUGAGAGGGUAGACAGCCACAUGGCGACUGAGAGAGGGCGCAGUAGCCAACGGGAGGCAGUGGUGGGGAGUAUUGCACAAUGAGCGGGAGCCUGAUGCAGAGACGCCGCGUGCGGAAUGACGUCCUUCGGGUGAUAAACCGCUUUCGACUGAGACGUAGCGUGCGUGACGGUAAUGGGUAAAGAAGCACCGGCUAACUACGUG